UCCAGAACAAAGCGUUUAAAGGACGGGGAAAAGAUGGUGGAGAAGGUCAUGAAAAAAUGCAUUUUGUUCAUGCAAAAUUUAUUCAACAAAAAAAAACAACUUUGUGUCAAAUGGAGUUCUUCUCGAAAAAAGUAAAUAUAUACAAUUACAUUCAUACAAUACAAUAGAAACGUUAAAAAACUGGGUGUAUUAAAUGCUUAGAGUUCAUAGCUUUGAUUUCAGACAUGAGAAUGUAAAUAAUGUCAGACAUUUCACAGAUGAAGUUCUACUGAAGCCCCUCAUUUGGAUCAAACCAAGUGCAGUAAAAGUUCUCCCAUUCCUCAAAGUUCUCAGAUCUUUCAGUUCUCCUAGUUUUUUGUGUUCUCCCACUUCUCUCCAUGACCUAAUGAUUUCCAGGUGCUGUAAUUAAGCCAUAAGCUCAAUAGGACCUGGCGUUUGUUUUCCACCUCUAAUCUGCUUCAGUAUUUUGGCUCAACAAGUCCGACAUGACUAAAGAUAAUUCGGUGUUGUUCUUGGCCUCGAGUCAGCAUUGAUUCGUCUCGCUUUUCUCCACUCGGAUCCAAUCAAGUUAGAUAGUUCCACCUUUCCAAAUCAGAAGAGAGCUGGAACAUGUGGUUUUUGGAUGACAGGAGAAAUGGUGGGUGGAGAUUAUGAGCACUCAGGAGGAACAUGUCUGACUUCCUGUACAGCAAUACAGGGGAUUUCCAUUUUCUCUUACCCGUUUAAUACACUCACCUGUUUCCUGUUCACACUCGUUUAUUCCCGGAGCUGUGAGAUUGCAGUGUUUUCUCAGCAGAAACCAGCCCUGUGACACACAGAACACUUCACUACAUGUCCUUCACUUCCACCAAUGCCGGCCUGCUGCAGGUUCCUGAGUGGUUCUCCAAUCCCAGGACCUUCAAAACAUCAGUGUUCAAAAACUGAAAUUCUCAUUCUGUCCACAAGGAAUGCUUUCCAUCGCACGUGUUUAACGAGACAAAUCUUACAGUCAGCAGAAAACGCUUCUGAAUGAAUCACUGACCAAAUGGUGUAGUAAUGAACAUUCGCAGUGUCCAGUGUUCUAGAAGUUGUAGGAAUUCAUUGGACCAUGUUACCUUGUUG